AGCAGCCGCGGUAAUUCCAGCUCCAAUAGCGUAUAUUAAAGUUGUUGCAGUUAAAAAGCUCGUAGUUGAAUUUCGAGAUCAAAUUGUUGGUCGUGCCUCGGUACGUACUGGCAUUAUUGAUUUCUCCCUUCUGAAGAACCUUGAUGUCAUUAAUUUGGUGUCUUGGGGAAUCAGGACCGUUACUUUGAAAAAAAUUAGAGUGUUUAAAGCAGGCUCACGCUUGAAUACAUUAGCAUGGAAUAAUGAAAUAGGACGUUUGAUUUUAUUUUGUUGGUUUCUAGGAUCGACGUAAUGAUUAAUAGGGAUAGUUGGGGGCAUUAGUAUUCAAUUGUCAGAGUGAAAUUCUUGGAUUUAUUGAAGACUAACUACUGCGAAAGCAUUUGCCAGGGAUGUUUUCAUUAAUCAAGAACGAAAGUUAGGGGAUCGAAGACGAUCAGAUACCGUCGUAGUCUUAACCAUAAACUAUGCCGACUAGGGAUCGGAUGAUGUUAAUUUUUUUAAA
rnacentral:rRNA from 1 species